AUCCAGUUGAUGAAACCUAAAUGGGAUGAAACGCGCGUCUUGGAU
rnacentral:hammerhead_ribozyme from 1 species